rnacentral:rRNA from 1 species
CACGUAGGGUGCGAGCGUUGUCCGGAAUUAUUGGGCGUAAAGAGCUCGUAGGCGGUCUGUCACGUCGGCUGUGAAAACCCGGGGCUCAACCCCGGGCCUGCAGUCGAUACGGGCAGACUAGAGUGUGGUAGGGGAGACUGGAAUUCCUGGUGUAGCGGUGAAAUGCGCAGAUAUCAGGAGGAACACCGGUGGCGAAGGCGGGUCUCUGGGCCAUAACUGACGCUGAGGAGCGAAAGCGUGGGGAGCGAACAGG